rnacentral:rRNA from 1 species
UACAGAGGUCUCAAGCGUUGUUCGGAUUCAUUGGGCGUAAAGAGCUCGUAGGCGGCUGUUCAAGUCGAACGUGAAAACUCGGAGCUCAACUCCGAGCCUGCGUUCGAUACUGGACGGCUAGAGUCUGGUAGGGGGAUCUGGAAUUCCUGGUGUAGCGGUGGAAUGCGCAGAUAUCAGGAGGAACACCGGUGGCGAAGGCGGGUCUCUGGGCCGAUACUGACGCUGGAGGAGCGAAAGCGUGGGGAGCGAACAGG